UAUAAUCAACAUGUUCUUUUUUUUAUGAAAAUUAUUAAAAGUAUAUGCGUGAGACAUACUCUACUAAAUUUUGAUUUAUCUAUUUUAUUUUCAUACUAUCACUAUAUCGGCGGUCCCCUCUUAUAAUACUUCAGGUGCUAAUGAAACUAUUUUAGUAAAAUUCAACUGUCUCAAUUCCCGGGCGAUCGCCACCAAAAACUCGAGUUCCCUUUGGAUUUCCUUCGUGAUCAAUGACAACUGCAGCAUUGUCAUCGUACCGUAUUAUCAUACCGUUAUCACGUCUGAGUUCUUUACAAGUACGUACAAUUACAGCUCUGAUCACUUCUGAUCUUUCUAGAGGCGUAUUGGGUACUGCUUCCUUGAUCACAGCAACAAUAACGUCACCAAUAUGAGCAUAUCUACGAUUACUGGCUCCUAUGAUUCGAAUACACAUCAAUUCUCGGGCACCGCUAUUGUCUGCUACAUUCAAAUGGGUUUGAGGUUGAAUCAUAUCGUUUUUUGAGUCCGUUUUUUUAAUGUUUAAUUUAAAGUAAAGCACUGAAAGGACGAAGUAAAAAAAAAAGGGAAGACCCGCAUUUUUUAUACCCAAGAUUUAUUUCCUUUGUUUCGACAUUCCUAUCCCGAAAUAAUGAAUUGAGUUCUUAUAGGCAUUUUGGACGCCGCUAUUGAAAUAGCCUUUCGAGCUAUAUUUUCAGCUACUCCACUCAUUUCAUAAAGUAUUCUACCCGGUUUAACGACGGCUACCCAAUAUUCGGGGAUCCUUUACCCGGACCCCAUACGGGUUUCCGUGGGUCUUAGUGUAACGGGUUUGUCUGGAAAGAUACGUACCCAUAUUUUUCCACCGCGCCGUACAUUUCGUGUCAUUGCGCGGCGCCCCGCUUCGAUUUGUCUAGAUGUGAUCCAAGCGGGUUCAAGUGCUUGAAGAGCAUAUCUGCCGAAACAAAUAUGAUUACCUCGAUAAGAUAUCCCUUUCAUUCUUCCUCUAUGUUGUUUACGGAAUCUUGUUCUUUUGGGGUUAUAAUUGAUGGGUUCUUUCUCAAUGCCAAUCUCUACUACAGAACUGGACAUGAGAGUUUCUUCUCAUCCAGCUCCUCGCGAAUGAAAGGACUAAAAACGAUUUUAUCAAGAUAUAGGGGAAUUUAAUGAAUAAUAUACUGAAGCAUAGGAUUUUUGAAAGUUCAUCUAAUUAAUCUAUUCUAAAUUUGUAUAUCAUGUUUAGAUAUAGAAUUGAAACAUUUAUGUUCUAUUUAUAGAUAAUCUCAAUGUCUUUUUUUUUUUUUUAUCGUUAUAAACAAAUCUUUAUUUUGUUUUGCCCUUUACCAUAUCGGAUCGAGCAAAAUGAAUCAAUCCAAUAAAAUCAAAAAAUAAACCUUUCGCGGGGCGAAUAUUUACUCUUUCAAUAUCUAUUUCAGUUGUAGGGUUAGUUCAUGACCUCUACGAAUAAAAGAAUAGUUUAGUUCCUGGGUUCGUUUCGCCAUCCCACCCAAUAAAUCAUUAAGAUUCAUUUCCAAUAGAAUCUUCUUUUUCUUUAUUCACGGGUUCCGUCGUUCCCAUUGCUUUCUCGAUUAAUGGUUAGGUCUGAAUUCUCCAACGGAGCCCUUAAUGAAAUUUUUUCUUAAGUCAAUUUUCUCAGUUUUUAUUGGCUCGGGGCUCUUGAUUUUUUUUGUUCUAUGAGCGGAUUCAUCUAGUUAGGGAUGAAUCAUUAUUGAUGCUAUAUUACACUGUUUUUUUAUGAGAUGACUUACAGACCUUACAUAUUGGAAUCUUAUAUCAUUGAUAUUUUCUUUCUCUCUUUCUCUCAUCCUUCCAUUUAUCCGCAUGCUUUUCGAUUUUCUUUCACAACUUCGAACUUCACAACCUACAAUCAGAUUGGGUUUUUAUGUUAUGCAAAUUUCAGUUGCUACAACGAUAUGACCACUAUAUUAUAUCUUGACUGGUUCUUUGGAUUCAGAUAAUACGAAGCAAUGAGUUGGUUAUUAGUGCUAUAGUUAUUAGUUCAUACUACAGGACGGUCCAUUUUUUGGAAUCCUAGCCCUAAAAAAAACCAACGAGUCGCACACUAAGCAUAGCAAUUAUAUAAAAAAAAAAAAAUCAAUCGAAUUUUUAUUCAACCCUAUAGAAUUGCGGAAUUUCUCAUUUUUGUUUUGAUUGAAGAUAAAAAGAGCUCGUUCUUUGUUUGGUUUAUUUCCAUUAAUGGGGGGGCUCUAAAGACCCGUAAACUCUUAUUUUUUUUCGUCUACAAAUAUCCAAAUUUUGAUUCCCAAUACCCCGUAGAUAGUUCGAACCGUAUAGGAACAAUAAUCAAUUUUAGCUCCAAUGGUUUGUAGAGGAACUCUACCUUCUCUGAUCCAUUCGGCGCGCGCAAUUUCUUUUCCGUCAAGACGCCCUGCAAUUUGUACUUGAAUUCCUUUUGUAUCGGCCUGUUCCGUUAAUUCAAUAGCUUUUUUCAUUGCUUUUCGAAAAGAAACUCUAUUUUUUAAUUGUCCGGCUAUAAAUUCGG
rnacentral:lncRNA from 1 species